CAGCUUCACAAAAAAAGAAGUUUUAAAGUGAAGACCUCAAAAUAACAUUUAUGCAAAAGUUCAGGCAAGUAAGAGAAAUUAGGGCAAGAUAAGUAGAAAUUAAAUAUCUGUGAGAGCCUAUCUAAACUAAAGAGAUUUAAAUAUAAUUUGUAACAAUAAUAACCUGUGUAGACCCAAGAAAGCAGGCCUGGAAAUGAAGACCAGGUUUAGUUUAAUUACUAUUGCUUUGUAUAUCUGAUACAGUGAGAUCCCUCCCUAUCCAUUCUACUUCAGGAGCAUGCCAGCUAUGGUUUUUUGCCUCAUUGUUUAUCCAUAUAAACUUCGUAAUAGAGAUGUUAAUUGAACAAAACAUAGAAUAAAAUUUCAAAGAGAGUAUUUUGUUAAGUUGCCAAGGUCUGUCAGGAAUUGGUUUCAGCCAAGUAGGUGGCCAUAUACCACAUACGGCUUGAAAAAAAAAAAAAAAACUGUAACAUAGGAAGCUUUAAAAAAGACAGAUUGUUCAGUCCAGUUGAAUGAUUAUAAUCCCUGAAGACCCUACCUAUCUGCUUACAAAACUUUCCUAA
rnacentral:lncRNA from 1 species